UACGUAGGUGGCAAGCGUUGUCCGGAUUUACUGGGCGUAAAGAGCGCGCAGGCGGUCGUUCAAGUCGCGUGUGAAAGCCCCCGGCUCAACUGGGGAGGGUCACGCGAUACUGAUCGACUCGAAGGCAGGAGAGGGUAGUGGAAUUCCCGGCGUAGUGGUGAAAUGCGUAGAUAUCUGGAGGAACACCGGUGGCGAAGGCGGCAUCCUGGACCAUAACUGACACUGAUAAGCGAAAGCCAGGGGAGCAAACGGG
rnacentral:rRNA from 1 species